rnacentral:rRNA from 1 species
CACGUAGGGCGCGAGCGUUGUCCGGAAUUACUGGGCGUAAAGGGCGCGUAGGCGGACAGUUUAGUCAGAGGUGAAAGCCCAGGGCUCAACCUUGGAAUUGCCUUUGAUACUGGCUGUCUUGAGUUCGGGAGAGGUGAGUGGAAUGCCGAGUGUAGAGGUGAAAUUCGUAGAUAUUCGGCGGAACACCAGUGGCGAAGGCGACUCACUGGCCCGAUACUGACGCUGAGGCGCGAAAGCGUGGGAGCAAACAGG